rnacentral:lncRNA from 1 species
AGUGGGGUCCAAAGAGAGGUAUGAUUUAAGUAUGGUAUAAUCCAGCUGUGAAUAAGAGAUGAAGAAUAGAGAUGGCGAAGAAGACGAAAAGAGGAAAGAGACAAGGAAGACAAAGUCGGAGUAUAAGAAGGAAUGAGAAGCUUAACAAGGAAGGGAAGAAAAGCCGUCGCGUCGAAUUCGAUUUUCGAGGUCGGCUAUAAUGAUGAAAAGACGGCGUCAAUUAAGAUGACCUAAUUAAUGCCGCACAUAAGAUAAAAAGA